rfam:Streptococcus intermedius B196, complete genome.
AUCAAAUGAAGACCUCCUAACUUUAUUUGAUAGAAAUCCUAAACUUUUUCAUAAUAAUCUCCCUAAUAAAAGUCACCCAUUGGUGGCUUUUUU